GAAUCUGUUCCAAAGCUCAUUUAGGCUGUUGAAGGAAUGUAAUUCCUUGGGUCACUGGAUUAGGGUCCUCUUUUCUGGCUGGCUGGUAGCUCUGCCACACUCUCAGCAUCUUGAGACUGUUCUUAGGCCCUGGCUCCAUCAUGCUCUCCUUCUCAGCAACAGAAAACCUGGCUUAGAUCAUAGCUUUUCCCUGCAACAGCUCUUCUACUCCCAGAUGAACAAAUUCUCCUUUUAAAAUGUGUCAGGUGGGGAGUGGUGAUACAGAGAGGUUAAGUACUUUGCCCACGGUCCAACAGCAGAGCUGGGCACUGAGGAAGAAGACUGGCUCCAGAGUCCAUGUCUAUUUGCUGCAGGUGUAAUGAAGGUCAUUAAUCAGUUGUCCUCGGAAUAGAUUAUCCUGGAUUAUCUGAGUGGGCCCAAUCUAAUUAAAUAAGUACUUAAAAGGAGAAGAGGAAGGAGGCAAAUCCAAACAGAGAGAUUCAGACAGACGAGGAAUUCCAUCCACUCUUGCCGGAUAAGUCUGCAAGGAACUACGAGAAGAAAUAUUAUCUGUCUCUAGAAGAGAGAGAUCAGCCUGGCGGGCAGCCAGCAAGGAAAAACAGUGACCUCAGUCCCACAACUGCAAAGAACUGAACUUGACCGACAACCUGAAGGAGCUUGGAAAUAGAUUCACCAGCAGAGCCUUCAUGAGGGAGCACAGCCUUGCUGAGACCUCAGUGUUGGCCUUGGGGAAACGUGGAGCAGAGAAGUCAGACAAGGCAACCCAGAUCUCGGACACUUAGAACUGUGUGAAGAUAAAUUUGCAUUAUUUUAAAUCACUAAGUUGGUAGUAACUUGUUAUGACAGCAAUUAGGAAGUAACACACAGACCCUGUGUUAGGGAAAGUGGCUGUGUGUGUGUGUGUAAAUACAAAGAUUCUAUUAACAAAGUCCUGUAACCUGUGUUCUGUGGCAGAGGGUUUCUGUAUGAAAUGGAUCAAGAGUUUUUCUGUUCUUCUUCCACAACCCGUUUUUGGAAAAGCACCACUGGGCAACAGGACUACCUGGUGACUGAAGCAGUGGAGACCUGACCUCCUCACUGGGCUGGUCCAGUGUAGGAUUAACCCUAUCCACUCAUAAUGUGCUGUGGACCUCAUUCCCUCUCCCUACCCACAGCUCUGACCCUCCUCAGAAAAUAACAUGGAGUCUCCUUUUUAUGUUAUUUGCUUGUUUACUGUUCUGUUUUUCUUUUUUAAUUGUAGUAAACUAUACAUAACAUAAUA